rnacentral:rRNA from 1 species
GGAGGUAGUGACAAUAAAUCACAAUGCGGAACAAUGUUUUGCAAUUGGAUUGAGAACAACGUACAAACCUUAUCGAUAAACAAUUGGAGGGCAAGUCUGGUGCCAGCAGCCGCGGUAAUUCCAGCUCCAAUAGCGUAUAUUAACGUUGUUGCAGUUAAAAAGCUCGUAGUUGAAAUGAAGGGUAGUUGUGUAAUGAAUACAUUCGUGUAUUUUGUUAUUCUACUACCCUCCUUCUAAAUUCGAUAUAUGAGUAUUAAUUUACUUGUAUAUGGUUUUAGACGUUUACUGUGAGAAAAUUAGAGUGUUCAAAGCAGGCAUUUGCUUGAAUAUAUUAGCAUGGAAUAAUCAUGUAUGAUUUUCAUGAUGUAUUUGAUUGGUUUGGUUCAUGAGAAUAAGAUUAAAAGGGACAGUUGGGGGUAUUCAUAUUCAAUAGUCAGAGGUGAAAUUCUCGGAUUUAUGGAAGAUGAACAAUGCCGAAA